rnacentral:tRNA from 1 species
UUCCUCGUAGCUUAGUGAUAGAGUGCUGGUGUGUAAAACCGGAGGCUCGGGUUCCGUUCCUGGCGGGGGAA